GUAUUAAAUUUAGCCUACCUCCCUUACACAAAAUAAUUUUUAAUAAUAAAAUAAAACAUUUUUAACACUUUAGUAUAGGAGAUAGAAAAAUUCACUUAGCGCAAUAGAAAAUAGUACUGUAAAGGAAAAAUGAAAUAGAAAUUAAAUAAAACAUAAAAACAAUAAAAAGCAAAGAUUUCACCUUAUACCUUUUGCAUCAUGGUCUAGUAAGUUUAACCUAACAUAAAGAACUUAAGUUAGACACCCCGAAACUAAACGAGCUACUCCGAAGCAGCAGAAUAUGAGCCAACCCUUCUCUGUGGCAAAAGAGUGGGAUGACUUCUGAGUAGCGGUGAUAAACCUACCGAGCUUAG
rnacentral:rRNA from 1 species